GUUCCUCAAUCUCUAUAAAAAUUUACAUUUUUGAUGAAGCUAUCUUUUAAUGGCACGAAUUUUCCUGCUAUCACGUUACCCUAACUUGACAAAAGUCAGGUGCGCAACCUUGGAGAUAUUGUGUGUAAUGCAUUAUUCUGUUUUCAGAAAGAUUAAUAUUUAGCGCAAUUACCUCCCAUUUAUUUUGUAUAAGAGCAAUCUUCAUGUGGACUAACACGUUAAUCUUUGUCAUUCUCAUGAUUACGUCUACAAGAUGACAAAUUUAAACUUAGUGAGGAAGGCGAGGACGAAAAAGCUCGCAGUUUACCAGUUGAAUCAGAGCCUGUAGCUGUGCGUCGCAGUUCAGAUUGUUAUGAUUUUAAGCCCAUCCAGUGCCAAUUGUACGACAUAUGUGCUUCUCCCACUGCCAGGGACAGCUGUCCAAGAACCUGCCAAAUGUGCGAAUACGUCGCCUAGAGACCGAUGAAGUUUUACAAUCCUUGAACGAGAUUGUUAACGCAUGUAAUUCAUCAAUUCCUGUCAUUAUAAAAACAAAAAUAAAAAAGAAACUUACCGUC